rnacentral:rRNA from 1 species
CGGCGGACGGGUGAGUAAUACUUAGGAAUCUGCCUAUUAAUGGGGGACAACAUCUCGAAAGGGAUGCUAAUACCGCAUACGCCCUACGGGGGAAAGCAGGGGAUCACUUGUGACCUUGCGUUAAUAGAUGAGCCUAAGUCGGAUUAGCUAGUUGGUGGGGUAAAGGCCUACCAAGGCGACGAUCUGUAGCGGGUCUGAGAGGAUGAUCCGCCACACUGGGACUGAGACACGGCCCAGACUCCUACGGGAGGCAGCAGUGGGGAAUAUUGGACAAUGGGGGGAACCCUGAUCCAGCCAUGCCGCGUGUGUGAAGAAGGCCUUAUGGUUGUAAAGCACUUUAAGCGAGGAGGAGGCUCUCUUGGUUAAUACCCAAGAUGAGUGGACGUUACUCGCAGAAUAAGCACCGGCUAACUCUGUGCCAGCAGCCGCGGUAAUACAGAGGGUGCGAGCGUUAAUCGGAUUUACUGGGCGUAAAGCGUGCGUAGGCGGCUUUUUAAGUCGGAUGUGAAAUCCCCGAGCUUAACUUGGGAAUUGCAUUCGAUACUGGGAAGCUAGAGUAUGGGAGAGGAUGGUAGAAUUCCAGGUGUAGCGGUGAAAUGCGUAGAGAUCUGGAGGAAUACCGAUGGCGAAGGCAGCCAUCUGGCCUAAUACUGACGCUGAGGUACGAAAGCAUGGGGAGCAAACAGGAUUAGAUACCCUGGUAGUCCAUGCCGUAAACGAUGUCUACUAGCCGUUGGGGCCUUUGAGGCUUUAGUGGCGCAGCUAACGCGAUAAGUAGACCGCCUGGGGAGUACGGUCGCAAGACUAAAACUCAAAUGAAUUGACGGGGGCCCGCACAAGCGGUGGAGCAUGUGGUUUAAUUCGAUGCAACGCGAAGAACCUUACCUGGUCUUGACAUAGUAAGAACUUUCCAGAGAUGGAUUGGUGCCUUCGGGAACUUACAUACAGGUGCUGCAUGGCUGUCGUCAGCUCGUGUCGUGAGAUGUUGGGUUAAGUCCCGCAACGAGCGCAACCCUUUUCCUUAUUUGCCAGCACUUCGGGUGGGAACUUUAAGGAUACUGCCAGUGACAAACUGGAGGAAGGCGGGGACGACGUCAAGUCAUCAUGGCCCUUACGACCAGGGCUACACACGUGCUACAAUGGUCGGUACAAAGGGUUGCUACCUAGCGAUAGGAUGCUAAUCUCAAAAAGCCGAUCGUAGUCCGGAUUGGAGUCUGCAACUCGACUCCAUGAAGUCGGAAUC